rnacentral:rRNA from 1 species
GACGAACCGUGCGAACGUUGUUCGGAAUCACUGGGCUUAAAGGGCGCGUAGGCGGGCGGCCGCGUCCGGGGUGAAAUCCCACGGCUCAACCGUGGAAUGGCCUCGGAUACGGGCGGCCUCGAGGGGGGUAGGGGCAUCUGGAACUGUGAGUGGAGCGGUGAAAUGCGUUGAUAUUCACAGGAACUCCGGUGGCGAAGGCGAGGUGCUGGACCCCAUCUGACGCUGAGGCGCGAAAGCCAGGGGAGCGAACGGG